rnacentral:rRNA from 1 species
ACUCCUACGGGAGGCAGCAGUGGGGAAUAUUGGACAAUGGGCGCAAGCCUGAUCCAGCCAUGCCGCGUGAGUGAUGACGGCCCUAGGGUUGUAAAGCUCUUUCACCCACGACGAUAAUGACGGUAGUGGGAGAAGAAGCCCCGGCUAACUUCGUGCCAGCAGCCGCGGUAAUACGAAGGGGGCUAGCGUUGUUCGGAUUUACUGGGCGUAAAGCGCGCGUAGGCGGAUCUUUAAGUCAGGGGUGAAAUGCCGGAGCUCAACUUCGGAACUGCCUUUGAUACUGGAGAUCUUGAGUUCGGGAGAGGUGAGUGGAACUGCGAGUGUAGAGGUGAAAUUCGUAGAUAUUCGCAAGAACACCAGUGGCGAAAGCGGCUCACUGGCCCGAUACUGACGCUGAGGCGAAAGCGUGGGGAGCAAACAGGAUUAGAUACCCUGGUAGUCCACGCCGUAAACGAUGGAUGCUAGCCGUUAGGCAGCUUGCUGCUUAGUGGCGCAGCUAACGCUUUAAGCAUCCCGCCUGGGGAGUACGGUC